rnacentral:lncRNA from 1 species
UAGGGAGGACACGUGUCUCGAGUGAGUCAAAAGUUGAGUGUUUCAUUCAAAGCAAGUCAAACAUUUUCCGCCGUAGGAUGGAGUAGUGGCUGGGUAAUGGACGGUUUGAUCUGGCCACUUAUUCUGCUGCUACCAUGGUCCGGUGCGGUCUGGAUCAUUGAUCUUUCCAAUAGGAUUUUCUUUUCUUCGCUCUUUCCCCACAGCACAAGGUACAAUCCCGUUAUAAUAAGCACCGCCCCUAUGAUCCUGUACAUCCAACCCCACGCUUAAUCAAUGUGUCUCCCCAAUACUUUUCUUACAAAUAUAUGUAUAUAUAUAUAUAGAUAGUGGACUAUCUUAUCAAAGAUAAAAAUGGAUAAUUCUUGUGUCCAAACAUCUCUGUUGAAGGAAAGUCUAAAUGGGUCCUAUCAAUAUUUAUGAUUAAAUAAGAGUCGUGUCGUUGGAGUUUGUUUAUUCGUCGUCUAAAAUAAUAAAUACAAAGUUAGGAUAAUAACAAAACUUAACUAAACUAUAAUUCAGUAUCCCAAUUUUCAACUCUAUCUUAAUUAAUUCACAAAAUUGAGUCUCUCAGUUUCUUAAUUUCGUGUCAAAUUAGUCUUUAAAUCAUAAAUUAUAUUCAAAGUUUAUUAUUCUAUUAAAAUUUUAAUUUGAACGUAUAUUAAAAGCUUAGUAAAAAGAAAAAUGAAAGUGCGUACAUAUAAUUAAAAAAAACAAGAAAAUAUAUAGUUUAGAAAAGGGGUGGAUUCCAUGAGAUCCGAUUAAGGGUGAAGAUUGAAUGAAAAAGAGAGAGAUCAGGACGUACCCUCCCAAGUAGAACUCCUCGCCCAAAGCGAAGGAAGCCAUGAGAGCAACAACGAAGGUCUGAACAGGUUGGUAGACAGCAACGAAGACAGGGCCACCUCUGUCAAUGCACCAUAUCUGUACAGCAAAUGCUAUCCCCGAAGCC